rnacentral:misc_RNA from 1 species
AAGUCGUAACAAGGUCUCCGUUGGUGAACCAGCGGAGGGAUCAUUACAGAGUUGCAAAACUCCCAACCAUUGUGAACCUACCUCACCGUUGCUUCGGCGGGUGGCCCGACCAGGGCCGCGCCGGCCCCCCGGGGCUGGCAACCCGUCAGAGGACCUAUACUCUUAGUUAUCAUUGGCCUCUCUGAGUAACUUAUACAAUAAGUCAAAACUUUCAACAACGGAUCUCUUGGUUCUG